GGAGACAUUACGGGAGGCAGCAGUGGGGAAUCUUGCGCAAUGGGCGAAAGCCUGACGCAGCAACGCCGCGUGGGGGAUGAAGGCUUUCGGGUUGUAAACCCCUUUCAGCAGGGACGAUUAUGACGGUACCUGCAGAAGAAGGACCGGCCAACUACGUGCCAGCAGCCGCGGUAAUACGUAGGGUCCAAGCGUUGUCCGGAUUUAUUGGGCGUAAAGAGCUCGUAGGCGGUUCAGUAAGUCGGAUGUGAAAACUCGGGGCUCAACCCCGAGACGCCAUCCGAUACUGCUGUGGCUUGAGUACGGUAGGGGAGUGGGGAAUUCCUGGUGUAGCGGUGAAAUGCGCAGAUAUCAGGAGGAACACCGGUGGCGAAGGCGGAUCUCUGGGCCAUUACUGACGCUGAGGAGCGAAAGCGUGGGGAGCGAACAGGAUUAGAUACCCUGGUAGUCCACGCCGUAAACGGUGGGAACUAGGUGUUGGCGACAUUCCACGUCGUCGGUGCCGCAGCUAACGCAUUAAGUUCCCCGCCUGGGGAGUACGGCCGCAAGGCUAAAACUCAAAGGAAUUG
rnacentral:rRNA from 1 species